UCCAGUCCAAGUCCCAGGGAUAGACAGGGGCGGCUCCUCCUCUGCUCCAUCUCGUCGUCUCCCCCACAAACCCUCCUCCUCGAACCCUCUCAACAUGGUUUCGCCGGCGGAGUAGCUAGGAUCAUCUGUGGAAGCUCCGCAACGGUGGUUGAACGCUGAACCACCACCACCACCGGUCCAUCAUCUCCAUCCUCUUCCCCAUCCAAUCCUGCCCGACCACCUCUAUCACCUCCUAUUCCUCCUGCCCCCCCACCAAAAAAAGAUCAACAUCUCUCCAUCAACAUCACCAUCACUGGCAUCAGCAUCGGCAUACGCGUCCAGUCCUGCCAUGAUGGUAGGAGGCGGAGGGCAUUCACAUAUGCCUGGUCUCACCGUCACCCUGGAAACACGGGCGCACCAAUUACUGUUACUGGCUGCCCCGUGCUGCUGCCCUGGAUCUGGGGGAGGAUGGGGGAGGGAGUGAUGAAGCGUACCACUGCAAAUCCGGCGACGUGCGGGCCGGAGUUGGUGGAUCAGGCUGUGACUCCCAAUAAACGUCUGUACGCAUGUGAAUUGUA